GUGAAGUAAAGUCGUGAAGGUGGCGUGUCCGUCCGAUGAGCGCAGAAAAAACUUGGACCAAAAUGCCCCUACAUGGGUAAUUGUCCUAGUUGUAGUUGUAGGCGUAGUUUGGUCAUCUGUCCCGAACUAUUAAUAUGGGUGGAUGGCUGUUCAUUUCAACACCUCUUGAGAAAACCCUAAUUCAUUUGCGUAGAGGCUAGCCAAGUGCUUACAGAGAGAGAGAGAGGAGAGAGGGAGAUGAGAAGGUGAUUGCUCUUUUCUCUUGAUUUCUUCAUUUUAGUGGGUGGAUGAAGGGAGGAGGCUAGUCCUCAUCUUGUAAAGAUGUUGACCUCAUGAUUUAGUUGAAUUUGUAUGUCAAAUCCAUGGCUAAAUCUAGUGUCUCUCCCAUUUUUCUUUUACCCUAUUUUCGGAGGAUUUUUGGGUGAAUUUUUGGAUCUCACGAUUGGCAGCGCUUUGGUGUGUUUUUCUUGGGGCAAAUCGAUGCUAGGACAUGUGCACGAACAUCUAGGAUGAUCCCUUAGCAAAUCUAUGCACGAGCACCUUGGAUUUUGAGAUUUCCCGAAAAUACCCUUCUUGUGCCCGUCUC
rnacentral:lncRNA from 1 species